AAUCCAUGGUUUGGGCAUUUUCUGAUCAUAGAUUUGAAUCUAUCCCAUGCCUCGCAUAGACUUUCCCCAUAAGGUUGGUUGAAGGUGGAGAUCGCAGUUUUCAAGUC
rfam:Lupinus angustifolius cultivar Tanjil chromosome LG03, whole genome shotgun sequence.